rnacentral:lncRNA from 1 species
UUCUGAUUAUCCAGAGCAGAGGAAAUAGGAAGCAUGCACAGGACAAAACAAGCAUCAGCAGCUAGACAGCUGAUGGGUGAUGGCUUUGCUUAUUGCAUUCCUAACAGUCUCUGUGUUCUUGUGUUCUUUCCUCAGUCUUUGUCUGUUGUUCAGCUGUCCUCCUCUGUGAUUUAGAUCAUAGACUCCUGGACUAGAGACAAUCCAGCUUGGGAUAUUCUGUGAUUCUGUGACUCUGUACCUCAUUAAUGUGUGAUCUCUUGAAAAAAUGUGGCUCUGAGCAGACCAAAAGUUUGGUUCUACACCUUAAGAAGAUUGUUGCACUGCUCAGCUAAGCCUACUAGUGGUAGCAAGCAUGUGCCUUCACAGUCAGUACAUCAUAUCUAGACAUUUUGUUAGGGAACUUUGCUCUUUUUUUUUUUUUUUUUUGCUAGCAUACAUUCUAAUACAAUGUUCUAUGGAGUUAAACUGUAGUAUUCAAAAUUACGUAAAGAGAAUAGGGUAAUUGGGGAAAUCAUUGAUGCAUCCCAAUGGGGCAUCAAAUUGAAUCUUUGUAAAUACAUGAAGAGAAACUUUUUUUUUUAGUUGAAACCUGGAGUUAAAAACUCACUUUUGAUUAAGAUUGCUAAGUAGCAUUUUCUAAGUGGUUUUAAUUUUACUUUGAGCAACAGCAAGAAAAAUGCAAGACAACACUCCUGUUACUCCAAUCGUCUUUUUUGAAGGCUAUACAGUGCAUAGUAUGCUGCUCCCUAACUGUAAUUCAUUGUGAGCAUGACAGAGGUACAGAAUUGGACACUUGCAGCUGCCCUAUUUACCAGUGAGGACACUUGAGAAAACUGAUGUUUUUGAAGAAACCCAUUGCCGCAUCCAGCAGUGCAGACAAUAGUGGAAGGCAAAGAUCUAACCCCUCUUGCCCAAAAGAUUCAUUAUGGCUCUGCUCUUGACCAACCCACACCAGUUCCUCUCAGACUAGACAUGAUGAGACCAAGAGACUGGAGCUGUUCUGAAAGCUGGACUGUGCAGUGUGUCAUGUUGUAUUGCCAAAAUGCAUUGCUUGGUGGAGUGCUUACCUGUAUAUCACUUUUAGCAUACAUAUUCCCUUCUGGAAUAAGAAAGACACUGUAACAGUUCCUCCCAAAAGUACAGGCUACGUAGGCAUGCUGCUCAGAAGCAGAACAUCAGGCAAAAUAUUUUUUCUUGGAAAGGGGUUGGUUUGCAAUGGGAACAGCCAGAGACGAGGCAGAGAAGGGCAGUCACGCCUGCAAGGGAAGAAUAGGAAACACUGGCCUGAGAGAAUCUUGAGGGAUCUUGCUAGUAGAAAACAGGCUGGGAGGAAGCUGGGAAUAAUGAAUACUGAAGGUGUAUUCUUCUACAGGGAAACAGAACUCUGUCAGUGACAUUCCCAACACUACCCUUAACUUGGCUUUCUGAUGGAAAUAAGCUUUAAGGUCAUGAAUACUUGCUGAAAAGAGAUUUGAGCCACAUGUCAUGAACUUGGAUCAGAAGAGGCAAGAAGGUAUCACUGGGUUUGCCCUUAUCAUUCCAGUAUGUAUUUCCUUCAUUAAAACAAAAACAAAAAACACAAUAAAUGACUGCCUUUUCUUUUUCCUAGCCUCCCACACAGCAGCUAUGCCACAAAUCAGAUGCCAUGUAGGGUCGGUUACUCUGAUUUCCAAAUGUCUUCUUUAAUCUCCUCCUUCCCUUCUGUUCAGCU